ACCGCUACUACCAGUCAAGGGGCUAAUAUCACCCAUCUUGAUCAUCGCCGCCGCGAAGUCGGAGUUAAAGCUCGACGGACUGUUGCUGUAGCCACGGACUAUGGAGUCCGUGGAGCCCCCGUUGAAGAGCACUUGGUCUGAAUGGAGUAGACCUCUCUGAGCCAUUAGGUUCUUGAAGUAGCUGUUGUCGAAAGAAGUUGCUGAGUUGAUGUCGAGUGGAGCUAGGUUUGCGUCGCCGGAACCGGCGGCUCUAGGGCAAGAUCUCUGACGUAAGGUGGCGAAGGCUGCGUUGAUGUUUGUCUCGUUGUAGACUCUUGCUCGGAAGUUCACGCAACGGGAUUGACCAAUCGUGUGUGCACCUGAAUAAAAAGAUUAUAGAAUAGUUUGUUUAAUAGUUGACUAGAUUUUUUGGUUAAUUAAUUAACACUAUCAUUAAAAUACUUUGUCGGUGUUUUGUAAUAAUAAUUUAUAUGAUUACGUAACUUUGCCAAAGGAACAGGAAAGCCAAAGUGUGUUGAAAAACAAACACAACAAAACAAGAAAGACCCGACAAUUUUCAAAAAGACAAUCUAAUUAUUUAUUUUGAGUCUUCAUCAUGGAAAUGUAUUAACGGGUAUUUUAGAAUUUGUAAUCAGGCUUUAUCAAACGAUUGAUUUAAAAGGAAUAUCCUCCAUAGGUUGCUUUAUUCUUUUAUCUCAAUCAACCUAUUGAACAAAAAGUUGCAUAUAUUGUAAUGAAAAAAAAAGAGGUAAGAAGAGAAGUGACACGGACCGG
rnacentral:lncRNA from 1 species